UCAUUUGCAUUUCCACUUUGAAACAUGCCCUCGAACCAUUUGGAAUAUGUAUUUCAUAGAAUUCCAUGAAAAUUUAACUGAAAUGUUUCAACAUUCAAAUGUAAAAUUUCAAAAAAAAAAAAAAAAGGAGUUAAGCUGAAACUGAAAUUAUAGAACGGUAAAAGUCAAAUCACUCGAAUUAUGUGCAAAAGCUUCAAAGUAAAAUUUUAAUUAUGCAUUGGCCGCACUUUAAAUGCACAAAGAGUUCCACAUAUUUAUGCAAAUAAAGUAACAUAUUUCUCUGGCUUGCGAAUGUUUGUGCACAGUUUCAGGCCAGCAAUUUGUGUGAAGGCACCCGAGCAAGGCAUUGCUGGCAGCAGGCGGUGUGCAAUUGCCAAAUUAAUUAGUGCUCCUGGCUGGCUGGAAAAAAUUUAAUAAUUUUUGCAUGACGGCCUAUGCAAAUUGCUGGAAAAUAUCAAAGUGCGCGCCAGGGCGGAAAACUACGCAGGUGAAAAUUGCAAGUGAAUAAAGAAAAACGCUGCUCAAGGGCAAUUGGUCAUCUGACCAGAAUAGACCAAGUAAGAGUGCUCUAAUCGGGAGUACCCAACUAGCAAAUACACUGCAUAAGGCAACAAUGCAUUCUGACAUAUGAAAUAUACAAAAGCUCUUUAUACACCUUUCUCUAUCUAUACCUUACAAUAGAUACAAUAUUUGAAAUUAAAA